rnacentral:misc_RNA from 1 species
GAAAUGCGAUAAGUAAUGUGAAUUGCAGAAUCCAGUGAAUCAUCGAAUCUUUGAACGCACAUUGCGCCCGCCAGCAUUCUGGCGGGCAUGCCUGUUCGAGCGUCAUUUCAACCCUCGACCUCCCCUUGGGGAGGUCGGCGUUGGGGACCGGCAGCACACCGCCGGCCCUGAAAUGGAGUGGCGGCCCGUCCGCGGCGACCUCUGCGUAGUAAUACAGCUCGCACCGGAACCCCGACGCGGCCACGCCGUAAAACACCCAACUUCUGAACGUUGACCUCGAAUCAGGUAGGACUACCCGCUGAACUUAAGC